UACGUAGGUGGCAAGCGUUGUCCGGAUUUACUGGGCGUAAAGCGUGCGUAGACGGUUAUUUAAGUCGGAUGUGAAAGCCCCGGGCUCAACCUGGGAAUUGCAUUCGAGACUGAAUAGCUAGGGUGCGGUAGAGGGAAGCGGAAUUUCCGGUGUAGCGGUGAAAUGCGUAGAUAUCGGAAGGAACAUCAGUGGCGAAAGCGGCUUCCUGGACCAGCACCGACGUCAGGCACGAAAGCGUGGGGAGCAAACAGG
rnacentral:rRNA from 1 species